UGCCGUCUCGAUACGAUCCACAGCCGCGGCCCCAACAAUCACGCAUGAAAAAAGGAAGCAGAUCCAAUUGAAUCCCCUCACCCUCAAUGGAGCGCUGCACCUCCGGCUUGUGGCAUCAGCCUUCUCUCCCUCCUCACCAGAUUUCGUCUUCGCCAUCGAGAGGUGUUAAGGGAGGCGCCCGCGACGCGAUGACGGCGGGGAGAAGCGACGCAUUGGCGGACAGCCGGACAACAGCGCAUGUGCAGCACAUAGCAGCGGCGGCUGUAAGGCCAUGGCGGACGAGCAGGUGGUGUGGCUGAGGGCGGGAGAAGAGAGGCUGGGCAGCGCCGGAGGCGGAGCUCGGCCGCGAGCGUGGCACGCACAGGGCAGUGCCGCGCGAGCGCCCUGCAGCCGCAUCACCGAGCGGUAGCCCCGCCGCCACACUACUACACGAGGGCAGCGCCACCGCAUCGCCGAGCCACAGCCCGGCCGUUCUCGGCCGGAGGUCGCCGACGCCUUUCCCAACUUUUGGGUUGGCACCUUGAUCGGACGCCUCCCUUUUGGCUAACAUGUUUCAGGAGAGGCUUAGAGGAAGGCGCUGCAGCAUGGAUGCACAUGGGAUGCUGCAGAUACAUGUGCCAAAGAGGAGGAGAGUAUGAAAAGAUAAAGGAGUCAAGAAGGACCGAAGGAGAAAUCAUAUGAACAUGAACCUGAUGAUGACCCAUAGUUGGAUGUAUGUGAGAGGAUCCACAAAUUGUCAAGCACACAUGCUACAACCAUCAACUUCUGGGAUAUUAACUAUCUAACAAGGCAAUGUUCACAAAAUGGUUUCCAUCAUCUAUGCGAUUCUGUUUCAAUUAUAGCUGUUUGUUUCUCCAAUGACUAUGUCUACUGUUACGCACGAUAAGAAAUCUAUUCAGGCUAUGUCACUGCAUCCAAAAGACUUGGUACCCACGAGUUCGUUUUCCUAUUAUGUACAUUGCUGGAAGCCUGGAACCUUU